GGAAGAAUCCUAGCUCAGCGGUAGAGCACCUGCUUUGCACUCAGAAGAUCCCUUGUUCCAUUCCUGGCAUCUCCA